rnacentral:rRNA from 1 species
GAUGAACGCUGGCGGCGUGCCUAAUACAUGCAAGUCGAGCGAACAGACGAGGAGCUUGCUCCUUCGACGUUAGCGGCGGACGGGUGAGUAACACGUAGGUAACCUACCUAUAAGACUGGGAUAACUUCGGGAAACCGGAGCUAAUACCGGAUAAUAUUUCGAACCGCAUGGUUCGAUAGUGAAAGAUGGCUUUGCUAUCACUUAUAGAUGGACCUGCGCCGUAUUAGCUAGUUGGUAAGGUAACGGCUUACCAAGGCAACGAUACGUAGCCGACCUGAGAGGGUGAUAGGCGACACUGGAACUGAGACACGGUCCAGACUCCUACGGGAGGCAGCAGUAGGGAAUCUUCCGCAAUGGGCGAAAGCCUGACGGAGCAACGCCGCGUGAGUGAUGAAGGUCUUCGGAUCGUAAAACUCUGUUAUUAGGGAAGAACAAACGUGUAAGUAACUGUGCACGUCGUGACGGUACCUAAUCAGAAAGCCACGGCUAACUACGUG